UGAAGAGUUUGAUCAUGGCUCAGAUUGAACGCUGGCGGCAGGCCUAACACAUGCAAGUCGAACGGUAACAGGAAGCAGCUUGCUGCUUUGCUGACGAGUGGCGGACGGGUGAGUAAUGUCUGGGAAACUGCCUGAUGGAGGGGGAUAACUACUGGAAACGGUGGCUAAUACCGCAUAACGUCGCAAGACCAAAGAGGGGGACCUUCGGGCCUCUUGCCAUCAGAUGUGCCCAGAUGGGAUUAGCUUGUUGGUGAGGUAACGGCUCACCAAGGCGACGAUCCCUAGCUGGUCUGAGAGGAUGACCAGCCACACUGGAACUGAGACACGGUCCAGACUCCUACGGGAGGCAGCAGUGGGGAAUAUUGCACAAUGGGCGCAAGCCUGAUGCAGCCAUGCCGCGUGUAUGAAGAAGGCCUUCGGGUUGUAAAGUACUUUCAGCGGGGAGGAAGGUGUUGUGGUUAAUAACCGCAGCAAUUGACGUUACCCGCAGAAGAAGCACCGGCUAACUCCGUGCCAGCAGCCGCGGUAAUACGGAGGGUGCAAGCGUUAAUCGGAAUUACUGGGCGUAAAGCGCACGCAGGCGGUCUGUCAAGUCGGAUGUGAAAUCCCCGGGCUCAACCUGGGAACUGCAUUCGAAACUGGCAGGCUUGAGUCUUGUAGAGGGGGGUAGAAUUCCAGGUGUAGCGGUGAAAUGCGUAGAGAUCUGGAGGAAUACCGGUGGCGAAGGCGGCCCCCUGGACAAAGACUGACGCUCAGGUGCGAAAGCGUGGGGAGCAAACAGGAUUAGAUACCCUGGUAGUCCACGCCGUAAACGAUGUCUACUUGGAGGUUGUGCCCUUGAGGCGUGGCUUCCGGAGCUAACGCGUUAAGUAGACCGCCUGGGGAGUACGGCCGCAAGGUUAAAACUCAAAUGAAUUGACGGGGGCCCGCACAAGCGGUGGAGCAUGUGGUUUAAUUCGAUGCAACGCGAAGAACCUUACCUGGUCUUGACAUCCACAGAACUUUCCAGAGAUGGAUUGGUGCCUUCGGGAACUGUGAGACAGGUGCUGCAUGGCUGUCGUCAGCUCGUGUUGUGAAAUGUUGGGUUAAGUCCCGCAACGAGCGCAACCC
rnacentral:rRNA from 3 species